rnacentral:tRNA from 1 species
AGGGGUGUAGCUCAGUGGCAGAGCACUUGCCUAACAUGCAUGAGGUCCUGGGUUCCAUCCCUAGCAUCACAA